AUAUUGACUGGGUUUUCUCUCCUAAAAUUUCCCUUCUCUUCUAAAAUUUCUUCCAUCUCUACACUUAAAACCCUAAAACGUUGAAUCAAGACGCAAGAGGGAUUACAAGGUACAUUAAUUUCAAUUAUAAUAAUCUUCGUCCUUAUCACUCGCAAUUGAAUGCACUCUUCAUCAUGGGCAAGUGAAUGGUUCACCGGUUCAAUUUGCCAUCAACAAAUGGCAACUCAAUCAUCAAGGCAAUCAUUGCAGUCAGUUUCACUCUCAUCUCCCUUAUAACUUGUCGAUCCAUGCUGCUCUUCAAAAGGGAUUGCGGGUGCUCUGACCGCUGGUCGCUAGAAAAUGGAAAGAAAGAUUAUAGUAGGAGCAAGGAGUACAAGUUGAUACCAGAACAACUUUGACAUUCCUUCUUGCAGAAACAUUUGAACCUUUUGUCAAUGCUGUAAGUUUUAGUUUUUUCCGGGGUCGUAUCUAGGGGUGUUUAGUAUGCGAUUCGGAUUCGAAAAAUUUGAAAUUUGAGUCUAUUUGAAUUUGAUUAUCAAGCUUCGAAAUCAGUUUUCAAAACUUAAAAUUCGAUUCGAUUGAUGGGAGUGGGUUGGUGGAGGUUGAGAAGAAGAAUGUGAAGAAGGCUCAGGUUUUGUAUGAUGCGAUUGAUGGGAGUGGCGGGUUUUAUCGGUCGCCGGUUGAGAAGUCGGUUAGGUCGUUGGUGAAUGUGCCGUUUACGCUUGAGAGGGCGGAGUAACUUCAUCACCCAAUAGUUAUUGGAGUGGAUGAUGAUGACCCAAAAGCAAAUCUGUGAAAGGAUCGUAGUGAAAAAAGCUAUCAAGCCUACAUGGCCCCAAGGAAGACGGAUUCUUAUGGCAACCUAAGUACUAGGGGCAGAAAAAAAUGAGAAACCUUAUGCACCAGCAGCCAUGGAAAGGAAAGAAGCCUCACUUUGGCAUAAGGCCCAGUGCCUUCUUUAUUUUAUGUUGAUUGUGUUUUUUUACGGACGACAUGGGUACACAUUUCAAGAAACUACUCUAUAAACCUUCACUUAAGUUAGUUUCAAUAUGUCAUUCAUGUAUGUGGACUACUAUACUUCAUGAACUGUAUCAAAUGUUUUAGAUCAUAUGUCCUAAAAAUAAUACGCCUUGUUUCCCAAA